CUCGAGCUUCGGGAGGGUGCGUGGUCCUGCCGACACCUCGAUGUUGACCCAGUGAGACUGGCUUUGGACUUCUGGCCUUCAGAAGGUUACCAGGUCCUGAAGCUUCCAGCAGACUCCAUGAAGCUGCAAAGCCAGGCAAUGGGCACGAGUGGCCCAAACCAGCGAACAUCUGACAGUCUUGAGACUGAAGUUGAGGGAUGAGGGAGCAGCCUGGCCUUCCCCUGGGAGGAGGUGGAGGGACACACUUAGUGGCUUUGAGUCUGUUCUCUGUGUUAGCAGAUUCCUCUCCGUGUUCAAGCUUGUGUGCCCUCACCAAAACAGAAGCCCUGUGCCGCAGAACCUAUCCUCGUUAGAAGGCCAUGUCCUAAUUGUCAGUCUCAUGCCCCUGGGGGUGGGGAUGGGGGUGGUUCCAGGGUGGUGUGAUCCGGGUCCUGUCUCUGAGAAGCCUUCUGGUGUCCAUGUCCUCUCCUGCCUCCUAGGACCUCUGAGCACAGGCCUGCCUGGCCCAGGCUGCCCUCCUCCUCCUCUUCCUCCCUCGGAGAACGAGCAGAGAAGGCCCUGUGAGGACACCGGGCAUGCAGACGAGAUUGCAGUGAUGGGUCUAUCAGCCAUGGGGCAUCAAGGAUUGCUGGCAUCCCCCAGAAGCUGGGAACCUCCUGGAUGCUUCCAGAUGCUUCCUCGGAGAAUCUGGAAGGAACCACGCCUGCCCACACCUUGAUUUUGGAUUUCUGGCCUCCAGAACU